AGCUGGUCUAAGUACAGUGGUACUUAAAACGAUCACAGCCAGUUACAGAUUUCUUUGUUCCUUCUCUCCUCCUGCUGUUUCACUUGACUGGUAUUUA
ensembl:misc_RNA Y_RNA Y RNA